rnacentral:lncRNA from 1 species
GUAGGCUGCAGACACAGCUCUGAUCCCACGUUGCUGUGGCUCUGGUAUAGGCCAGUGGCUACAGCUCUGGUUAGACCCCUAGCCUGGGAACCUCCGUAUGCCACAGGAACGGCCCUAAAAAAGGCAAAAAGACAAAAAAAUAAAAAUAAAUAAAUAAAAAGCAUGAAAUUAGAACAUUCUCUGACACCAUGUACAAAAUGAACUCAAAAUGGAUUAAAGACCUAAAUGUAAGGCCAGAUAGUCUUAGAGGAAAUGAUAAGGCAUCCUCUGUAUUGUUUGCAUAUCCCCAACCUUCUCUCUCACUCCUAUCCCUCUUUCACUAAAGACACUCUCCCUAAAUCACUGAUCUAGAAGAGGUCAAGACUGCCUCUUACUGUCAGUCCCGUUUCUCCAUGUUCAACAUCUACCCGAGUUAGUAAUGUUGCCUCUUCCUACAUUUGAAGCAAUUCUCUUCACCUGACUUCCUCAUACCUUCAGCUGUCUUCACAUGAAUCCUUUUUACAUCAUUGCGCUUUUUCUCCCAACUUCUCAAGCAUUUUUCCCCUUCUAGUGCCUACCUGUAAAUUAAAAUUACCUGGGGUCCUUUCUACAGCCACACUGAUGGUAUAUGCAGGUUCCCAGGCUAGGGGUUGAAUCAGAGCUCCGGCCUACACCACAGCCACAACAACACAAGAUCUGAGCUGCAUCUACAACCUAUGUCUCGUGGUACUGGCCCAAAAAAGAGAACUACACAUCAGUGGAAUAAGACAGAAAGCCCAGAAAUAAACCCUCACACCUAUGGUCAAUUAGGUGUGAGGGUUUAUUUCACCAAAGCCAGAUCCUUAACCCACUGAGCAAGGUCAGGGAAUGAACCUGCAUCAUCACAGAAAAACUGUCAGGCCCCUAACCCACUGAGCCACAAGGGUGAUCUUGGAGUGACAGCAGUGAGUGGUGGCUUGGAGCAAGAUUUUCAUUUUCUGCUCACGACUUGAAUCUGGGCAGCCUGGAUGAAAACCAGGGGUCCUAGCCACUGGACUGGCUAGAGGCUAAAGGCAGAAUUACCCUGAUUCUUACUCCUGUUGAAAGCAAGCAUGUUUCAAGGAGGCCAAGCCCGAAAACAGGUGUCAAGUGUAUUGUGAGAGUCACAGUACCACACGUGGGAGAGCUCGCGGAGAAGGGGUUUAUUGGCGGCAGAAGCAAAGCAGGAACAGGCACCCUGAAGAGCGGUGCGGGCGAGAGCGAGCCCCUCAAAGAGCAGCGCGCCGGGGAAGGGAUUCGCGUCCCUUCUGCAGGACCGUUCUUCCGGCCCGUGUUGACCUUUAGCCAACCAUCUCGUUGUAAUUCGCACACCCGACUGGACACAGGACCCUCCUCGACAUGCGGGCGCCUCUUCUGACAAAGGUGGAUUCCAGAGCAAAGGAUGCCGGGUGGGAUCAGGACUUACUGUGGCCUGGCGCCCCCUCCCUUUCUGACGCCUAGCAGUCUUACUGCGCAUGUGUAAUUGGGAGCCCUCCUUGACCACUGGAGUGGGGUCACUUGCUUAGGUGGAAAAAUCAAACAAGACCUAAAAAGACACAUACGUCUUAUCAAACAGACCCAUCCUAAUGGAUGAGUUCCAGAGUUCCCGUCGAGGCACAGCACAAACAAAUCCGACUAGGAACCAUGAGGUUGCAGGUUUGAUCCCUGGCCUUGCUCCACGGGUUAAGGAUCCGGCAUUGCCUUGAGCUGUGCUGUAGGUUGCAGACGCAGUUUGGAACUGGCCUUGCUGUAGCUCCAGAGUAGGCUGGCAGCAACAACUCCAAUUAGACCCCUAGCCUGGGGACCUCCAUGUGCCGUGAGGGAGGCCCUAAAAAGAAGACAAAAAAAAANAAA